UUCCGGAUGGUGUAGUAGUUAUCGCACCUGCUUAACAAGCAGGAGAUCCCGGGUUCGAAUCCCGGUCCGGUAC